rnacentral:rRNA from 1 species
AGUAGGGAAUAUUGCGCAAUGGGGGAAACCCUGACGCAGCAACGCCACGUGAGUGAGGAAGGUCUUCGGAUUGUAAAGCUCUGUCCUUAGGGAAAAAUGGUCAUGAACCUAAUAGCUCAUGGCUUGAUGGUACCUAAGAAGAAAGCACCGGCUAACUUCGUGCCAGCAGCCGCGGUAAUACGAAGGGUGCAAGCGUUGUUCGGAUUUAUUGGGCGUAAAGCGCGCGCAGGCGGAUGAGAAAGUCAGGUGUGAAAUCUCGGGGCUUAACCCCGAAAUUGCGCCUGAAACUGUUUAUCUAGAAUAUUGGAGGGGAUAGGGGAAUUUCUCAUGUAGGGGUAAAAUCCGUAGAUAUGAGAAGGAACACCGGAGGCGAAGGCGCCUAUCUGGCCAAUUAUUGACGCUGAGGCGCGAAAGCGUGGGGAGCAAA